GACGAACGCUGGCGGCGCGCUUAACACAUGCAAGUCGAACGGAAAGGCCUGCUUUCCCUUGUGGAUUGCGGGUACUCGAGUGGCGAACGGGUGAGUAACACGUGAGUGAUCUGCCCCCAACUUGGGUAUAAGCCUGGGAAACUGGGUCUAAUUCCCGAUAGGACUGCAGGGUGGUGCCUGUGGUGGAAAACGAUUUUCUAGUGGUUGGGGAUGAGCUCGCGGCCUAUCAGCUUGUUGGUGGGGUAAUGGCCUACCAAGGCGGCGACGGGUAGCCGGCCUGAGAGGGUGGACGGCCACAUUGGGACUGAGAUACGGCCCAGACUCCUACGGGAGGCAGCCGUGGGGAAUAUUGCACAAUGGGCGGAAGCCUGAUGCAGCGACGCCGCGUGGGGGAUGACGGCCUUCGGGUUGUAAACUCCUUUCGACCGCGAGGAAGCCACCUGGUUGGAAGGGUGGUGACGGUAGUGGUAGAAGAAGCACCGGCUAACUACGUG
rnacentral:rRNA from 1 species